UGGGUGUGCUCAGAGCAGGGGGCCUGAAAAAUGGCUCCUGUAUUUACAACUCACCCAACAGGAAUCUGGGGUCAUUGUGAUGAAGGGCACAAAACUUGUGGUCUCCCUAUGAACAAAUUCCCUACACAU
ensembl:snoRNA